GGACAUUGUAGCUCAGUUGGUUAGAGCGCAAGUUUGUGGCACUUGAGGCCGUGGGUUCGAAUCCCAUCAUUGUCCC
rnacentral:tRNA from 1 species